rnacentral:tRNA from 1 species
GCAGGCAUAGUUUCAACCCAAACAUUAGGCUGUGAUCCUAAAAAUAGAAGUUAGACCCUUCUUACCUGCC